GACGAACGCUGGCGGCGUGCUUAACACAUGCAAGUCGAACGAGUGGCGAACGGGUGAGUAACACGUGGGUGACCUGCCCUGCACUUCGGGAUAAGCCUGGGAAACUGGGUCUAAUACCGGAUAGUGUGGGAUGGGCCCGCGGCCUAUCAGCUUGUUGGUGGGGUAAUGGCUACCAAGGCGCGACGGGUAGCCGGCCUGAGAGGGUGGACGGCCGAAGUGGAACUGGUACACGGCACAGACUCCGACGGGAGGAAGCAGUGGGGAAUAUUGAACAAUGGGCGCAAGCCUGACAGAGCAACGCCGCAUGAGUGAAGAAGGUUAUCGGAUCGGAAAGCUCUGUUGUAAGAGAAGCGGUAUCUUACCAGAAAACCACGGCUAACUACGUGCCAGCAGCCGCGGUAAUAC
rnacentral:rRNA from 1 species